rnacentral:rRNA from 1 species
AUUGAACGCUGGCGGCAGGCCUAACACAUGCAAGUCGAGCGAGCGGCGGACGGGUGAGUAAUGUAUGGGAAACUGCCUGAUGGAGGGGGAUAACUACUGGAAACGGUAGCUAAUACCGCAUACUAUCAGAUGUGCCUAGAUGGGCUUAGCUAGUGGGUGGGGUAACGGCUCACCUAGGCGACGAUCCCUAGCUGGUCUGGGAUGAUGACCAGGCACACUGGAACGGAGACACGAUACAGACUAAAACGGGAGGCAACGGAGGAGUGUGGUGCACAAUGGACUGAGGGCUGGCGCAACCAAGCCGCGUGUGUGAAAGAGGCCUUGGGGUUGGAGAGCACUUUCAGCGGGGUGUCGUUACCCGAUGAAGAAGCACCGGCUAACUCCGUGCCAGCAGCCGCGGUAAUUC